rnacentral:lncRNA from 15 species
CUCUGUAAAUUGAGGAGAUAGAGUUUCCUUGUUUCAUUGUGGGUGCUGUUAUCAUUGAGUGUUUUAUUGAUUACAGUUAUUACUUUGUGUGUAUGGGGUUGUUUUUAAGGUGUGAAGCAUUUUGUUUGAAUGAAAAGCCUAUAUUAUUACAACCACUGACUGACUAUAUAAAUAAAGUAAGAAUCAACAGUAUGAAUCAUAACUGGGAUCAGAAUUGGUGCUGGAAGGGAGGCAAAAACAGGAGUUAAAGAACUACAGUAGUUUAAACUGAGAUAUUUUGAGAUAUGACUGCACAAAGUCUUUUGGGGGGUGUUUGCCUUUUUUAGAUAGGACAGGUCAAGAAGGAUAAGAAAAGGGGAGAGAGAGAGGAUGAGAUGCACCAAAGGGCCACAGGUAAGAGUUGAACCCAUGUUUGCUUAUUUCUUAUCCAGGUGCACCAGCAGAGGGUGCAGACCCCUCUUUGCCUGUGCCAGCUGAUGGCAAUGAGGAAGACCUGCAAGAAGACCAACCUGAUCAGGGCUUUCCAGCUCAGGAUAAAAGGUGUAUUCAGAAUCUACAAGACUCACCAAAUGCAAAUGAAGACCCAGCUGAAGGAAAUGUUCUUGAUGUUCUGCACAACGUGUCAGGACAAAAUCAACCUGAGGAGAAUAUUCCACUGAGGAGGAGGAAUGGUGCUGAAAGCUCGACUGAUGAGGAUGCAGCUACUGGUGUAGGUGGUGCUUCUGGUGGUGCUGAUGCAGAACAUGACAAAAGCAGUUAAAUGGAGAUUUAAAUUAAUUUUAUUUAUUUAUCUAUUUACACAUUUCUUGCAAAAUCAUUUUCUUAUUUUGAGUUUGUAUCUCUUUCUAAUCUCUUUCUAAAUUGUGGGGAUAUAGUUUCCUUGUUUCAUUGUGGGUGCAAACAUUUUAUAUCCUUAAUCUUGAAUUUAAUUUUCAAUUUCAAUUGUUAAAGUUUUACAACGGUAUAACAGUUUUAAGAGAAAAUCUGUGCUGGUAUCAUUGAAUGUUUUACAUUUAUCAGUUUUGUUUUUGUGAACAGUGUAUACUAUAGUGUAUGUAACUAUACAAAUAAAGUGUGAUUGAUUGAUUGAUUGAUGUAUUUUAUUGAACCUCUGUACAAUAGACAUGUUGUGGUUUAUCUGAUGUCUGACCACUCUGCUGUGACUCAUCUGAAGUGAAGUGAAGUAGAUCUGGCCAUCACUUCUAGUAGCAGCACAACACUGUUCUCAGUCAGUGAGUCUACAGCCAUGCUAGCAGCUCUGUGAGGAUGUAGGUAUUGGGUCAUAAAGUGUUAGACAAAUAAAACUUUGACCUGUUUCAAUCAAACCAUGAGUUGCAAACAGUGACAAAAAUGAAACCAAAACCAAACCAAAAGAAACGUAACUAAUGACAAUGAAUAUGUUAUUGCACAAAUUAUGCAUUUCCUAUUUUCCUGUGUAAGUGUAGCCAGUCGUGAUUAGAGAGAGAGAGAAAGAGAGAACGCACUCG